rnacentral:rRNA from 1 species
UACAGAGGGUGCAAACGUUGCUCGGAGUUACUGGGCGUAAAGCGCGUGUAGGCGGUGCCGCACGUCCGGUGUGAAAGCCCAGGGCUCAACCCUGGAAGUGCACUGGAUACGACGGCGCUGGAGUCCUGAAGAGGAGGGCGGAAUUCCCCGGUGUAGAGGUGAAAUUCGUAGAUAUCGGGAGGAACACCAGUGGCGAAGGCGGCUCUCUGGACAGGUACUGACGCUGAGACGCGAAAGCGUGGGUAGCAAACAGG